rnacentral:rRNA from 1 species
UACAGAGGUCUCAAGCGUUGUUCGGAUUCAUUGGGCGUAAAGGGCGCGUAGGCGGCGCGGAUAGUCGGCGGUGAAAGCCCGGAGCUCAACUCCGGGUCGGCCGUCGAUACUUCCGGGCUUGAGCACUGUAGAGGCAGAUGGAAUUCCGGGUGUAGCGGUGGAAUGCGUAGAGAUCCGGAAGAACACCGGUGGCGAAGGCGGUCUGCUGGGCAGUUGCUGACGCUGAUGCGCGACAGCGUGGGGAGCAAACAGG